AUUUAAAAGAUAGCUCAGUCAACAGAGCAUGAGACUCUUAAUCUUGGGGUCACGGGUUUGAGCCCCAUGUUGGAUG